CAAAUAAUAACCAUAGUGAUAUGCUAUCUCUGGCACUUAAAUUUUCAGCAAGAAAAUUCUGGAAAAAUAACAAACCCAUAUUUUAUUAUUUUUUCGCUAAAAAUUUACGAUGACAUGCCCACCGAAAGUAAUUUUAGAUGUUCGAUAGAUUUGGAGUUCAUUUUUCUAGCUGAGUUAAUAUUACGUUUUGAAAGUCAGUGAUCUCGAAAAUAAAAGCCAAAAUGAAAGUCACGGUCAUCGCAUUCCUGGUGGUGUUAACCGUCUACGUUUCCAUGGUACGGGCACAAUCAGAUACUGAACAAGAACAAUCAGAUACUGAUCAACCAAAUUCUUCAGAAUCACCUUCUCAACAAUCAAAAACGCGAACAGAGCCGAAAAACAAGGACGCAAAGAAAGGCAUUUUGGGCAUAGGUAAGGUGCCUGGUGCCUAAUCUUCAGUAAGCUGCAAGGCCUCACACUCUAGAGGGAAGUUUUAUCGAAUAAUUAAUUUGCACUAUUAUUUUAUGCUUGAUCGCGUUUCAUUCAACGUCUACAAAAAAUCGAAAUGCAGAAUUUAGAAAAUAUUUUUAAGCGUUUAAAGUGUUCAUGAUGGUUAAAUUGUGGUUUUGUUGAUAUUCUACACAAUAUAUAGAUAUUUACAGCGUU